UAAUUAUUACAACUUUCAACAACGGAUCUCUUGGUUCUGGCAUCGAUGAAGAACGCAGCGAAAUGCGAUACGUAGUGUGAAUUGCAGAAUUCAGUGAAUCAUCGAAUCUUUGAACGCACAUUGCGCCCUUUGGUAUUCCAAAGGGCAUGCCUGUUCGAGCGUCAUUU
rnacentral:rRNA from 1 species